rnacentral:rRNA from 1 species
GACGUAGGGCGCGAGCGUUGUCCGGAUUUAUCGGGCGUAAAGAGCUCGUAGGCGGUUUGUCGCGUCUGCCGUGAAAGUCCGGGGCUCAACUCCGGAUCUGCGGUGGGUACGGGCAGACUAGAGUGAUGUAGGGGAGACUGGAAUUCCUGGUGUAGCGGUGAAAUGCGCAGAUAUCAGGAGGAACACCGAUGGCGAAGGCAGGUCUCUGGGCAUUAACUGACGCUGAGGAGCGAAAGCAUGGGGAGCGAACAGG